UGCAGGGUGGGCGGGAACAUCUCCACUUGCAGUUUCCAUUUCUGCAGGUGAUGAGCUGAAGUGACCCAUAGAUCUGGAGCUCACUGUGGAGACAGUCAGCUGGAGAUAUCAGACCUCCCCGCGGGCCCCUGCGCAGACAGGAACACCACAGAAGCACCCCUGGAGUGAAGUGACCCCGGAGAUCUGAAGCUCCCCACAGAGACGUCGGCUCAAGAUAUCACUCUCCUCCCAGCCUCGUGCAGACAGGAAGGAACACCACAGCUCCUUCAGUGCACACAGAGGACCCCGGUGGGGAAAAAAAGAGACAAAACAGAGCGACAUCAUCGCCUUUCUACAGACUACAGAUUCGACUGUGCCAUCGCAACGCAAUGACAGGAGUCAUCUGGGCAGUGCUGAUCUUCAGUCUGGCACAAACAGUGCUAUUAGACAGUAAUGACAACAAAAACGCUACGGAAGCAACACCUGCAAAGAAUACAACGGUCAAAGAUGCAACACCUACAAAGAAUGCAACGGGCAAUGGUAGGUACAUUUCUCUCCUUGCAUGUUCUCAUCAUGAACAGUGUAUGUUUACCAAAUGCAACAAGAGUAUUUAGUUCUCCACUGGUUGAGGUUAAACUGGAAUCACAAUGGGAGGGGAGUUUUGUACAGGAAUUACAGUGCAAGGGGAAUGUUGUACAGGAAUCACAACAGAAAAGGAAUGUUGUACGGGAAUCACAGUAGGUGGGGAAUGUUGUACAGAAAUCACAGUGGGAGGGGAAAGUUACACAGGAAUCACAGUAGGAAGGGAAUGUUGUGCAGGAAUCACAGUAGGUGGGGAAUGUUGUACAGAAAUCACAGUGGGAGGGGAACGUUGCACAGGAAUCACAGUAGGAAGGGAAUGUUGUGCAGCUAUCACAGUGGGAGGGGAAUGUUGCACAGGAAUCACAGUGGGAGGGGAAUGUUGUGCAGGAAUCUCAGUGGGAGUGGAAUGUUGUGCAGGAAUCUCAGUGGGAGGGGAAUGUUGUACAGGAAUCGCAGUGAGAGGAGAAUGUUGUUUA